rnacentral:lncRNA from 1 species
GGGGAAUGUCCCAAAAAAUGUUAUUUGAUUCUGGUUAGAGGCUUUUGUCAGACUACGAUGGGCAUGGGCGGUGUUGGUAUUGGUGUCAGUAUUGGUAUAGGUAUUGAUAUUAGCAUUGUGGUUGAAUAGUUGGUUGAGGUUGUUUGAUUUUUAUUAGAGACUUUAUUUAAUGUCUCUAAACUAUUAUUGUCCUAUUUCAUUACAUGUUCAUAAUUCAUCAGACAUAGGGUGCAGGGCGGUUAUGGUUGGGUAUUGGGGGUGGUCUCCGGUCUUAGUUGGACUUGAGAUGCCUGCCACAACUAGUCCCUAGUUUGGGUCAUGUCAAAUUGGUAUUAGAGCCCUUGGUUCAUGGUCAAUUGGGUGUCUGAAAAAGCUGUAUCGAAUAGAUACU